rnacentral:rRNA from 1 species
CGCCUUUUGAACUAUAAACAUAAAAGGUCCUGCCUGCCCAGUGACAUUUGUUUCAACGGCCGCGGUAUCAUGACCGUGCAAAGGUAGCGUAAUCACUUGUCUUUUAAAUAAAGACCAGUAUGAAUGGCAAGACGAAACCUAACUGUCUCCUUAAGCUAAUCAAUGAAAUUGAUCUUCCCGUGCAGAAGCGGGAAUAAUAAUAUAAGACGAGAAGACCCUGUGGAGCUUCAAAAUUAAGCUAACAGAUCAUAAUGCCUUAGCAUAAAGUUUUGGGUUGGGGCGACCAUGAGGUAAAAUACAACCCUCAAGACGAAAACUAAGAAGGACACUUCAAAUAAAUAACAAUAUAGUAAUUGACCCAAUAAUUGAUCAACGGACCAAGUUACCCCAGGGAUAACAGCGCAAUCUGCUCAAAGAGCCCUUAUCGACGAGCAGGUUUACGACCUCGAUGUUGGAUCAGGACUCCCAAAUAAUGUAACAAUUAUUAAAGGUUCGUUUGUUCAACGAUUAAAGUCCU